GACGAACGCUGGCGGCGUGCUUAACACAUGCAAGUCGAACGGAAAGGCCCUGCUUUUGUGGGGUGCUCGAGUGGCGAACGGGUGAGUAACACGUGAGUAACCUGCCCUUGACUUUGGGAUAACUUCAGGAAACUGGGGCUAAUACCGGAUAGGAGCUCCUGCUGCAUGGUGGGGGUUGGAAAGUUUCUGCGGUUGGGGAUGGACUCGCGGCUUAUCAGCUUGUUGGUGGGGUAGUGGCUUACCAAGGCUUUGACGGGUAGCCGGCCUGAGAGGGUGACCGGCCACAUUGGGACUGAGAUACGGCCCAGACUCCUACGGGAGGCAGCAGUGGGGAAUAUUGCACGAUGGGCGGAAGCCUGAUGCAGCAACGCCGCGUGCGGGAUGACGGCCUUCGGGUUGUAAACCGCUUUCGCCUGUGACGAAGCGUGAGUGACGGUAAUGGGUAAAGAAGCACCGGCUAACUACGUG
rnacentral:rRNA from 1 species